AUUGAACGCUGGCGGCAGGCCUAACACAUGCAAGUCGAACGGUAACAGGAAGAAGCUUGCUUCUUUGCUGACGAGUGGCGGACGGGUGAGUAAUGUCUGGGAAACUUCCUGAUGGAGGGGGAUAACUACUAGAAACGGUAGCUAAUACCGCAUAACGUCGCAAGCCCAAAGAGGGGGACCUUCGGGCCUCUUGCCCUCGGAUGUGCCCAGAUGGGAUUAGCUCGUAGGUGGGGUAACGGCUCACCUAGGCGACGAUCCCUAGCUGGUCUGAGAGGAUGACAAGCCACACUGGAACUGAGACACGGUCCAGACUCCUACGGGAGGCAGCAGUGGGGAAUAUUGCACAAUGGGCGCAAGCCUGAUGCAGCCAUGCCGCGUGUAUGAAGAAGGCCUUCGGGUUGUAAAGUACUUUCAGCGGGGAGGAAGGGAGUAAAGUUAAUACCUUUGCUCAUUGACGUUACCCGCAGAAGAAGCACCGGCUAACUCCGUG
rnacentral:rRNA from 1 species